GAGGUUGUAGCUCAGUAGUAGAGCGUUCACAUAGAAUGUGUGAGGUCCUGAGUUCGAUCCUCAGCACCACA
rnacentral:tRNA from 1 species